AGGAUUACAAUCACUAAUGCCUAUAUAAUGCCGUAAUAUGGUCGGCGAGUUUCUACCCAGAGCCGUAAACUCUGGACUAUAAGCAAAUCGAUGAUUCCC
rnacentral:ncRNA from 2 species